rnacentral:lncRNA from 1 species
GACAGUCUCAACAUCUGGUUUAAUGAAACCACUGUCUGCUCUGAAUUCCCACUUUUGCUUAGAAGUUGGCCUGUGAUUUUACCGCCGGGGCCGACCUUAAUAUAGAGUACACAGAUGGCUACCUACGUGGUGUGAUCUGAGGGCAACCAAGACAAGGUUCUUCACCACAUUGCCUGCUUGACCAGCA